ensembl:lncRNA
CCACAGAUAUCAGCAGAAAGCACCCUUGUGUACAUACUACACAGUCAGAAGAUGUGGAAUCAUCAUUAAUGAACUGGAUGUUCAGAGGGAGAUGAUGCCACAUCUGGUCCAGCCGAUGGAAGGUCUUGAAGUUCUCUGACUGGCCUCUACUGAAGAUGGUCGUCUCACUGGAUUUAAGGUUCAGAUGCUCAGUAACAAACUCCACCAAUGAGCCAACAGGGAAGCUUUAGGUUUAUUAAAUGUUGCUAUGAAGGUUUCGCUGUUUUUCUUUGUGAAUGCAAUGAGCUCCAACUGAAACUUGAAUUAGAACUUAGAAGUAAAUCCUUCCAUCUGAAAGGAUUUAGUUGCAUUAAUAACCUCAUAACAUUCUAAUUUUUAUUCCAGUCUUAGUUGGAAAUAGAAUCUCUGUAUUGAUUCAGGUAAAAACUGAACUUCACAGAAUGUUGGAGCAAAACAACCAGAUGAAAACUGUGAUGGUGUUGGAUUGUCAGACCGUAAUGUUGCAGCUCAAAGCAGCU